AGCGAACGCUGGCGGCAGGCCUAACACAUGCAAGUCGAACGAACCUUUCGGGGUUAGUGGCGGACGGGUGAGUAACACGUGGGAACGUGCCUUUAGGUUCGGAAUAACUCAGGGAAACUUGUGCUAAUACCGAAUGUGCCCUUCGGGGGAAAGAUUAAUCGCCUUUAGAGCGGCCCGCGUCUGAUUAGCUAGUUGGUUGAGGUAAUGGCUCACCAAGGCGACGAUCAGUAGCUGGUCUGAGAGGAUGAUUAGCCACAUUGGGACUGAGACACGGCCCAAACUCCUACGGGAGGCAGCAGUGGGGAAUCUUGCGCAAUGGGCGAAAGCCUGACGCAGCCAUGCCGCGUGAAUGAUGAAGGUCUUAGGAUUGUAAAAUUCUUUCACCGGGGACGAUAAUGACGGUACCCGGAGAAGAAGCCCCGGCUAACUUCGUG
rnacentral:rRNA from 1 species